rnacentral:rRNA from 1 species
GAUGAGCGCUGGCGGCGUGCCUAAUACAUGCAAGUCGAGCGAACGGACGAGAAGCUUGCUUCUCUGAUGUUAGCGGCGGACGGGUGAGUAACGCGUGGAUAACCUACCUAUAAGACUGGGAUAACUUCGGGAAACCGGAGCUAAUACCGGAUAAUAUUUUGAACCGCAUGGUUCAAAAGUGAACGACGGUCUUGCUGUCACUUAUAGAUGGAUCCGCGCUGCAUUAGCUAGUUGGUAAGGUAACGGCUUACCAAGGCAACGAUGCAUAGCCGACCUGAGAGGGUGAUCGGCCACACUGGAACUGAGACACGGUCCAGACUCCUACGGGAGGCAGCAGUAGGGAAUCUUCCGCAAUGGGCGAAAGCCUGACGGAGCAACGCCGCGUGAGUGAUGAAGGUCUUCGGAUCGUAAAACUCUGUUAUUAGGGAAGAACAUAUGUGUAAGUAACUGUGCACAUCUUGACGGUACCUAAUCAGAAAGCCACGGCUAACUACGUG